rnacentral:rRNA from 1 species
UACGGAGGAUGCGAGCGUUAUCCGGAUUUAUUGGGUUUAAAGGGUGCGUAGGCGGUUUGUCAAGUCAGCGGUGAAACGCACGGGCUCAACCUGUGACCUGCCGUUGAAACUGUCGGACUGGAAUGCGGAUGCUGUGGGAGGAAUGUGUGGUGUAGCGGUGAAAUGCAUAGAUACCACACAGAACACCGAUUGCGAAGGCAUCUCACAAAUCCGUGAUUGACGCUGAGGCACGAAAGUGUGGGGAUCAAAC